CCUACGGGUGGCAGCAGUGGGGAAUAUUGGACAAUGGGGGCAACCCUGAUCCAGCCAUGCCGCGUGUGUGAAGAAGGCCCUCGGGUUGUAAAGCACUUUCAGUGAGGAAGAACGCCUGGUGGUUAAUACCCAUCAGGAAAGACAUCACUCACAGAAGAAGCACCGGCUAACUCCGUGCCAGCAGCCGCGGUAAUACGGAGGGUGCGAGCGUUAAUCGGAAUUACUGGGCGUAAAGCGCGCGUAGGUGGCUUGAUAAGCCGGUUGUGAAAGCCCCGGGCUCAACCUGGGAACGGCAUCCGGAACUGUCAAGCUAGAGUGCAGGAGAGGAAGGUAGAAUUCCCGGUGUAGCGGUGAAAUGCGUAGAGAUCGGGAGGAAUACCAGUGGCGAAGGCGGCCUUCUGGACUGACACUGACACUGAGGUGCGAAAGCGUGGGUAGCAAACAGGGUUAGAUACCCGUGUAGUC
rnacentral:rRNA from 1 species